CUCCAGGGAAGAGGGGAACAGGGCAGCAGUUAUGCUGUGAGAAGCUUAAGCCAAAUAUGAAAAACCAUCAGAUCAUACCUAGAGAUUGUUUAUCUGAAACCCCAGAUAUCAAUAGAAGGAUGCAGGUGCAAUGGAAAAAUAAAAGCAACACUGCCUGAGAGGGAGUAAUGGGUGAGAGUAAGUCCAGACAGCACUGAGGGAUCCAGAUUGGUUCCCUUCAUGCACUCCUGAAUCAUGAUCCAAUGGGAAGGCAAACUACAGAGGUUUUUCAAAUUGCGGUCCCUUCGCCAAAGCACCAGAGCUGGAGUUCAUCCUUCUUGAUAGGACAAUGGGAAGAUAACUCUGCCAGGAGUGGGGCUUGGCUGUUUCAAGAUGGCCAUGUUAACACUUCCAGCACACAACUGUGUGUGGCCACUUUCAUCUGCUGCAGCCUCUGGCUUCCCUGACCCUUGGACUCCAAUGGCUUUUUCAGCCGCCACAGGAGAUUUGCCUGACUUGCAUGUGGUUUUUCCCUGGCAUUGCCCUCCACUUCUGCAAUGAAGAACUUUUUAUUGUAACUUCCCCAGAGGAGAUUUACCAACAUACGAGCCAACUCCCUGAAACACUGCUAUGUGGUCUUACUAUCCAGCUGAGGCAGAUCAUGAAAGUUCAUCUGAACCGUGACUGGUCAACAACAAUCUAAGACAAUGGUGUGUUUGUUCUUACAUAGUGACAGUAAAAUGCCACAGGGCAAUGCUAGUUGUUUACCCAUUUUUCACAAUUUUGUGCAGCACAAAUGCUGAACAAAGCACAGUAAAUGAGUGACGCGAUGUACUGCAUUUUCCAAAGAAUCUUGCAAAAAGAAAAUGAUCAUAAAUCUUUUCAGGGAGUGGGAUGCUUUUUGAGAAAAUAUAUAGGCCGUAAUCUAUAACCCUCAGUUCCAAGUAUACAACCUUCCUGAUUUCAACACAGUUAUGCCAAGGUACAGAAUUUUGGUCCGAUGUUUCAAAAUAAGAAAAAUCACAGUGGUUUUCCAUUUAAAAAAAAAAAAACAACAUAAAAGAGAUUCAGUAAUUCCUAGUGUUGACAGUACCCUCCCAUAAACGUCUAGUUUGUGAACUGCAUGGAUCAGAUCUGAGGGCUGAAUCUUUUAUAAUAAGAAUCUGGUGCUGGAGAAAUGAGAGCAUGUUUCAUUGCUGCUUGUGACACUCAUUAGCAUGUUGUAGUUACAGCAGGAGUCUGUCAGUUUGUGCUUUUUGGACCCUCCCUUUAUAACUAGGCUGAAAUUUGAUAGAUUUUAUAUUGUAUGUUUUGUAUGUUGUAACCAACAAUAACUCUCUGAGGUAACCAUAUAUGGGCAGCUCACAUGAGAACCCAGUAAUGUUUAACGAUAUAUGGAGAUAUGUUAUUGAUUACAUAGGCAAAAAAUCAAAUAUGACAUGAAGGCACUUUUAGGGAAAGGUGCUAAUGUUAUGAGUCAAUAUACAGACACUCACGAUGAAAUGAAACUCUCACUGCACCCACAUUGUCAUGAAGGGGAUUGUGUGAGGUAAAGCAGCCUUUGUUAGGGCAGUCAAACCUCCUGGGAGAUUCCUUUGUAUUGCAAAGCAACUGCACAGAAAGGAGGGCUGAGUCCUAGUCCCAAACUCACCUUCCAAUGCCUUGUGUUCCUAGGUGAGCAGGUUUGGGCUAGAGGACUUCCUACAUGAAAAGCCCUGGGGAUUAGGGAGGGAUAGGGAACAGUGUGUUUAAACAGAGAUAUUCUAGAGAGCAAACAGCUGCCUAAUGGCGAAAGGGCAGGUGUGCUUUGGCUUUGUGUUUCUGCAAAAGAGAGCUGUACCUUGUAUGGAGUCUGGCCCAAAUCCACAAAGAUAUCAAAUCUGUCUCCCAUUGAAAUCAAUGGGAGGUAGGUGCCUAAAUCCACUUGAGGAUCUGGGUCGCUGUGACCGCCCCUGACUAAAAAAACAGUUUACUCGGUCUAUAAAUAUAUUACUCUCACAAAAUACCCUGACUGUCACCAAUUUUUCUUCCAGCAGUGUACAGCUUUACAAGGCCCCCACAUCUGUUACUGAUUGGCAAAGGAGCUACACUACAGCAGGAAAUCAAAACACAAAAAUGUGCACUUCUUCUCUGUCCUCAUUCCCUACUAUGUCUUUUACUAGGUGGUAGGUAUGAAAUGUACUAUUUCCCCAAAUCCUCUGCUCCUGCUACCUCUCCCUCACAUGUUCAUAGCCCCAGUGGUUUCUUCAAGCCCUCCUUAUUGUUGUCCCAGUUCAGGAAAGCAUCCAUAAUCAACAACUUAAGUUAUGCACAUGCUUAAGUUUCAUUUAAGUUAAGCCCUUAAGUUGUUUUUUUCUGAAUCAGGCCCUGUAAGAGUGACUCAGCCAAUCAGGGAAAAGAAACAAUAGCAUGAGAUUCAGGUGACUAGGCACAACUGAGGAAUUGAUCUCAAAUACAGUGUGUUGGAACUCACAAUGAACUGAUAGUGAGCAAGCCAUAGAAUAAAAAUGUUCAAGAAAACAAAUUUUAACAAAGUAAAUUCAAAUAACAAAUGUGAGGAUGUCGCAGAAAAAGAGGCUAAAGUUGUCAAGGAAAAUUAUUCACCUUGAACUGUUCAAUCAAGCCCUAUUUUGAUUUCGGAGAUUCCUUCUCUUUACUGGGGCUCUGAGAUUUGAGUUUCCCAAAAUUUUCCAUCAUUUGCCUCAUGGAGGGCUAUUGAAAUAGCCCACCUCUUACUGAACUGGUCUCAUUCCAUCCACAGAGAUGACUGGAAUGUCUGUCACAAGCAGAGAAUGAAACAAUAAAAAAAAAAAAAGCCAUUCUCAACAUUUCUCAGUGGCUGAUGUGAACCAUAGGGCAGAACACAGGGUUCUGAUGGUCCCUGACACCAAAACACACUGCAUAUCCCAACUAUUAGCCACACCUCCAUUGUUCUAUGCACAAACACACAAUAUUCAUGUAUAGUUCAACAGAUGUAAUGCACUGUACUAAGUAAAUGAUGCAAUUGCAGGUAAUGCUCAUAGAAUACAUAUGAAAAGGAACCAUUGGGUUUCUUACACAAG